GAAAUAUUAAAUCACAGAGUACUAAAGUGAGAAAGUGCGAAACCAUAGGGUACUAACUGGAUACACUUGAAACCACAAUGUACUAAAGUGAGAAAGUGCGAAACCACAGGGUACUAACUUGAUACACUUUAGACUACAAGGUACUAAAGUAAGAAAAUACGAAACCGCGGGGGUAUUUGAAGUUCCCCCUAUAUUUUAAUUAUUGCUAGGUUGGUAUACUAUCGAUAGCACGGAGGCCUCCGUGCUACCAAAUUAUUUUUAAUGAUGCGGCUUCAAAAUCGACGAUCGGCUCCAAUAGACUUGAUCUAUACUAUUAAAAAUAUUUGAAAAGUAAAUUUCAUAAUUUGUUGACAACAUUUCGCUAGUGAUCAAAAGGUCUCAAAAUUGACAAUUUUAAUGGUCGACGUGAUGCGUUUGUGAAUUUAACGGUGUAGAUCAAUCCAAAUCUGAUGAAAUUUUAAUAAAAAUUAUUUAAAGUAAGAUCAAUAUCUCUGUUUCACUAUUUAAAGUAAGAUCAGUACCUCUGAUCUUAAAUUCAAGUCUUUUUCAUCAUUUUUUAUGAGAUUUUUAUUUUCAGCCGUUCAUUUUUAGACUACUUGUUUGAUAGGUAAAUGAUGUCGAAAAAUUAUGAAAUUUAGUUUCCAAAUACUUUUAAUAGUAUAGAUUAAAUCUAAUGGAGCCGAUCGUCAAUUUGGAAGCCGCAUCAUUGAAAACAAUUUAGUAGCACGGAAGCCUCCGUACUACCAAUAGUAUACCAGCCUAGCUCUUUUAAUUAUAUAUAAUAAUAUAUAUUAUGUAUUUUAGUUAUAUAUACAGAGAGUUUAGGUUAUUGAGAAUAUUAAUUGGUCCACAAAACUAAACCAGCAAAAUUCUACUAUAAUUACUCUCUUUUCCUCUCUUUCACUUACUCACAGAAUCGCUUUCCCUAAAUUAUUUUUCUUAAUAUUAUAAUACCGUAUUUCAUGCAUUUAUUUUGUAUAUUAAACUAUUAUAUCAAAAUUUUGAUAAUAUUUUAUAAAAAAAUAAAUUAUAAAUUAUAUGAU
rnacentral:lncRNA from 1 species